CCUACGGGAGGCAGCAGUGAGGAAUAUUGGUCAAUGGACGAGAGUCUGAACCAGCCAAGUAGCGUGAAGGAUGACUGCCCUAUGGGUUGUAAACUUCUUUUAUAAAGGAAUAAAACGAGGCACGUGUGCCUUUUUGCAUGUCCUUUAUGAAUAAGGAUCGGCUAACUCCGUGCCAGCAGCCGCGGUAAUACGGAGGAUCCGAGCGUUAUCCGGAUUUAUUGGGUUUAAAGGGAGCGUAGAUGGUUUGUUAAGUCAGUGGUGAAAGUUUGCGGCUCAACCGUAAAAUUGCAAUUGAUACUGGCAGUCUUGAGUACAGUUGAGGGAGGCGGAAUUCGUGGUGUAGCAGUGAAAUGCUUAGAUAUCACGAAGAACCCCGAUUGCGAAGGCAGCUUACUAAACUGUGACUGACAUUGAUGCUCGAAAGUGUGGGUAUCAAACAGGAUUAGAUACCCUAGUAGUC
rnacentral:rRNA from 1 species